UAGAUGUUGCUACUAGUUUUACCUGGAACUUGUUUCCUUCCCAUGUCUACCUAGCUCUUGGAUGUCUGUGGUUAGUUUCAGUUGCUACUAUGGAAGCUAAGACUUGAUGUCACUAGGCCUGGUUUCUUGUGAACAUGUUUUGAGUUUAAUCUGUGUUGAAUGCUUGAUAUGUGUACCUUAUCUCGUUGCUUAAUGUCAUACUGAUGAUUUGGCCCUUACUUUACUAGCAAAUUAUGGCCAUACUGAUGAUUUGGCCCUUACUUUACUAGCAACUUUAUUCGUACUUCAAAAUGCAUGUACUCUGCAGCACAAGUAAGCGCACAUUUUGCUAUGCAAAAGACAUCAGACGCUGCACUUAGGCCUAUCUUAUUCCAUCACACUAUUUCUAUUAUUCUGGCUGACG
rnacentral:lncRNA from 1 species